rnacentral:rRNA from 1 species
AUGAACGCUAGCUACAGGCUUAACACAUGCAAGUCGAGGGGCAGCAUGGUCUUAGCUUGCUAAGGCCGAUGGCGACCGGCGCACGGGUGAGUAACACGUAUCCAACCUGCCGUCUACUCUUGGACAGCCUUCUGAAAGGAAGAUUAAUACAAGAUGGCAUCAUGAGUCCGCAUGUUCACAUGAUUAAAGGUAUUCCGGUAGACGAUGGGGAUGCGUUCCAUUAGAUAGUAGGCGGGGUAACGGCCCACCUAGUCUUCGAUGGAUAGGGGUUCUGAGAGGAAGGUCCCCCACAUUGGAACUGAGACACGGUCCAAACUCCUACGGGAGGCAGCAGUGAGGAAUAUUGGUCAAUGGGCGAGAGCCUGAACCAGCCAAGUAGCGUGAAGGAUGACUGCCCUAUGGGUUGUAAACUUCUUUUAUAAAGGAAUAAAGUCGGGUAUGGAUACCCGUUUGCAUGUACUUUAUGAAUAAGGAUCGGCUAACUCCGUGCCAGCAGCCGCGGUAAUACGGAGGAUCCGAGCGUUAUCCGGAUUUAUUGGGUUUAAAGGGAGCGUAGAUGGAUGUUUAAGUCAGUUGUGAAAGUUUGCGGCUCAACCGUAAAAUUGCAGUUGAUACUGGAUAUCUUGAGUGCAGUUGAGGCAGGCGGAAUUCGUGGUGUAGCGGUGAAAUGCUUAGAUAUCACGAAGAACUCCGAUUGCGAAGGCAGCCUGCUAAGCUGCAACUGACAUUGAGGCUCGAAAGUGUGGGUAUCAAACAGGAUUAGAUACCCUGGUAGUCCACACGGUAAACGAUGAAUACUCGCUGUUUGCGAUAUACAGCAAGCGGCCAAGCGAAAGCGUUAAGUAUUCCACCUGGGGAGUACGCCGGCAACGGUGAAACUCAAAGGAAUUGACGGGGGCCCGCACAAGCGGAGGAACAUGUGGUUUAAUUCGAUGAUACGCGAGGAACCUUACCCGGGCUUAAAUUGCAGAUGAAUUACGGUGAAAGCCGUAAGCCGCAAGGCAUCUGUGAAGGUGCUGCAUGGUUGUCGUCAGCUCGUGCCGUGAGGUGUCGGCUUAAGUGCCAUAACGAGCGCAACCCUUGUUGUCAGUUACUAACAGGUUCCGCUGAGGACUCUGACAAGACUGCCAUCGUAAGAUGUGAGGAAGGUGGGGAUGACGUCAAAUCAGCACGGCCCUUACGUCCGGGGCUACACACGUGUUACAAUGGGGGGGUACAGAGGGCCGCUACCACGCGAGUGGAUGCCAAUCCCAAAAACCUCUCUCAGUUCGGACUGGAGUCUGCAACCCGACUCCACGAAGCUGGAUUCGCUAGUAAUCGCGCAUCAGCCACGGCGCGGUGAAUACGUUCCCGGGCCUUGUACACACCGCCCGUCAAGCCAUGGGAGCCGGGGGUACCUGAAGUGCGUAACCGCGAGGAGCGCCCUAGGGUAAAACUGGUGACUGGGGCU